rnacentral:tRNA from 4 species
GCGGGUGUGGCGGAACUGGCAGACGCACCAGAUUCAGGGUCUGGCGCCGUUGAGGCGUGGGGGUUCGAAUCCCUUCACCCGCA